GCUUUCUUUAUCAUAAAUUGAUACAAUAUAUCACAAAGUAACAUUUAUUAUUUCUUUAAAAACCAUUUAUUGUUUGGAAUUGAUGAUAAAUAUAUCAAAAAAUUAAUUGGUAGCUUGGUUGAAUAGGUUAAAAUCGUAUUGUGUGUGUAUCAUUGUCAUGGUAGCAAUUCAGAAAGAAAGAAAAAAAAAAGAUCAUCUUCAUGGUUUCAAUUUCCCU